rnacentral:rRNA from 1 species
UACGGAGGGUGCGAGCGUUGUCCGGAAUCAUUGGGCGUAAAGGGCGCGUAGGUGGCCCAGUAAGCGUGCGGUGAAAGCUCGGGGCUCAACCCCGAGUCGGCCGUGCGAACUACUGGGCUGGAGCACUGUAGAGGCAGGCGGAAUUCCGGGUGUAGCGGUGGAAUGCGUAGAGAUCCGGAAGAAGACCGGUGGCGAAGGCGGCCUGCUGGGACCAUGUACUGACACUGAGGGCG